rnacentral:lncRNA from 1 species
CCUACUUCCACUUCGGAGCACAUGCAUCUCUCCACCUAGCAGGCAAGAUUUCCUCCAGGCAACUUCCUAAAACAUAUCAGAAAAAUCAUAAAAAGCUCGAGAAGGGGCACUUAAUGAUGACAUAUUGAUCAAUGGCUUCUGCAUUUUGGAGGAAACAGUGGGCAAGGCCUAUCAUUUUUCCAGUAUAGGAAUAUUCUUCAAUCAAUACAGAUCAGCUCAAGUUCUCUUGCUUAGAGGUGCUCCUGAACUGAUCACUUGCUGAUUUCUGGAUUGCUUCACAACUUUUUUAAGAGGCCACUCCUGAAGACAACUAUCACUCAUGGAUGAUUAAGCCUGUACAUAUGCAGGCGAGUUUUUAGAGGUUCUCUCAUUCUUUUAUCUAAUGAUUUUCUAAUUCUGAUUUACAGCCCAUUAAGCAAGAAUUCCAAAAGUCCAUUAUGUUUGCAUUAACACACACAUAUUUAAGACUACCUCUACAGUGAUACCCUUAAAUAAAAACUAAAAAUA